UUGCUAUCAAACUCUCAAAAAGGAAAAUCAGCUUUAUUCUAAUUUGGCAAAGCUUGGAGGAUAUUUUUACAGGUUCAACGCUUGCUUUAUUGCUUUCUUACCUUCCGUUCUUCAAGACAAUAUUUUCCUAGCAGUGCUCGAUAACUUUAAAUCCAUAUUUUUGUUCUUUGCAUUAUCAUAAAACGGUGUUGUUCUAUCUUUUUGUUUUUUGAUUGAUCAUCAGCAACGACAAUGCAACCUACAUGUCCUACUUUUACUACUGAGCUUACCAUCAGAACCACAGCCCGAUGAGAACAUUCUAAACUAACUGAAGAUGGCUUCCUUCCCUUUUAUGGUACAUGCUUGGGAAUACUAAUUAUAGCUGACAGAAAAUGUGCUUUUUUAGCAUGAAGAUAAGAUGAUGGGAAGGGAUGAUCUUCAUGAGCCUCAGUGGUACUAUCAUAUUAUCAUAACUGCUGCAAAGUUCAUAUAAUGAUCCCUGUUUCAGACUCAGAUCAAAGGAACAAGCUGAUCAAUACGUUUCAGCCAUGGAAUACUGCGUCAAGAUAAACGAUCGAGUUGAGCAUACUGCGAUGUUUUGACAGGAGAUUCCGUUAGCUUUCAGACAAAGUAAUCCAGUAGAUAGGUCAACAGAUUUUGAAGGAACAACAAGCCUUCAAUGAACUCAGCCGGUAAUAGAAGUAGCAAUUCUCUCAACACAUGCUCCACAGCACGACGACGGCGAGCAUCCGGAGAAAU